CGUAGGGUGCAAGCGUUGUCCGGAAUUAUUGGGCGUAAAGAGCUCGUAGGCGGUCUGUCGCGUCGGCUGUGAAAACUCGGGGGCUCAACCCCGAGCCUGCAGUCGAUACGGGCAGACUAGAGUGCUGUAGGGGAGACUGGAAUUCCUGGUGUAGCGGUGAAAUGCGCAGAUAUCAGGAGGAACACCGGUGGCGAAGGCGGGUCUCUGGGCAGUAACUGACGCUGAGGAGCGAAAGCGUGGGGAGCGAACAGGAUU
rnacentral:rRNA from 1 species